GCAAGGUGGUCGUCGCCAUCUUUUACAUUGCAACACUACGCGUGAUUUAAUAGUUACAAGUUGAUAUCAUUUAACAAUAAAGGAAAUUUUAAAAAAACGCGCGUGCUCAGUCACCCCCACUUAUCCUUAGCCGAUAAAAGAACUAGCAACUACAAGACGGGCCUUAUUCAACUCAGCGUGAGGGGACCUGCAAAAUUUAUACACCGAAUCCAAACAGUGUUGGGCGAAAUCCGUAUAAAUACUCACUUUAAUUUUCAUAUGAAAACCCAUUGGUGAAUGCCGCUGGAUGCUAGGCGCGAACCUCCAACCUUUCGGUCGUGAAUCCUAUCCCUAUCCACUGGGCUACGGCCGCCCCAGAACUAGAGCUGUGGCGUCCUGCGUCGGACGUUGAACCCAUGACUAGCUUUUCUAGAGACGGAACUUCUUCCACUUUUCUCGUUCGACGCUAACUGAAGUUUCUCAGUGAGAUCGCAAUAAUCUCCUCAGGAUUUUAACAUUAUUUUUUACUCGGUACCCUCGGCAAUAUAGCGUAUGCUGGUAGACCAGAGUUUUAGACAAAGUUUUAAUUAAUGCCCUACUCCCAGAGAGCAUAGAUCCAGUGAAACGCUUAUUAAUUUUAAUACCAAAUUGCGUUAUCCUUACGGAUUUAAUUCACGCUUACUCGUAGAUUAUUCUUUUACUUUAAGAAUAAAUCUUUAUAUAAUUCAAUAGAUUUUUUGACUCUACUUCACAAAAUAAAAUAAUAGAUGUAUUAAUGGAAGCGUUAAUUAUUUAUCAGAAUUUAUUCAUACUAUUGAAGGAAGAUUAAUUUGUGAGAGACGUUUUUCGAUGAUACUAACAGAUUAGCCUUCUGGCCAUUGUGUCCAAUUAGUACACUCUCAGUACAUGAGUAUUAAGAGGUUUAGUUAAAAUGGAUGAUUGAUAGAUACAGGGCACAGUGGACACAGAAAAUAUGUCGAAAGCAGCACAAAAUCAGCUGAUGUGCUAUGAUGGUCAUGUCAGACAUAUAAUAUAUUGGGAUUGAUCCUUUUUAUCAGUAUCUCUUUGAGGUAGUUGUAAGGCUUGUGAAUGUAGUUUAAAUAAAAAAAAAAUAUGAAUAAUUCUUGAUUUUCAAGGCUCAUCGAAGGAUUGCACUCAUGAAACU